UUUCCUUUUUUUUUUUUUUUUGGUUUUAAAUUCUUUAUAUGAAUGCACAGUAAUUGAAAUCAAAGGAUAUGUAUAUUGUUUUGAUCACAUUAGAAAAUUACAUGUACUGUGAAGGAGUUUCCCUUCUUUCUCUUCUUCUACAAGUGGCCUGAUACAGUGAUGAUAUUGAGAUUUAAUGGGUAUAGCUUGAUGAAACAGUUAUUUGUCACUGCAUCAGCCCAAUGGGUAAAAGUAGUUUUGAGUAUUUUACACAUUGUUAACGGAAAG
rnacentral:misc_RNA from 1 species